AUUUACAGCGGUGGGACUGCAGGCGUUAGUCCCGUGUGCCCACAUCCUCACUCCCUGGUUUACUUAUUUCCUUCUUGCUUCUGUAAUCACACCUCUGUGCUGCAAAACCCACCUUCGGUAUAUUUGCUAGUACUUGAAGAUUUGUCAGGCCCCAGAGUGGAGGCACCAAGAAUUUAGAGCAAUGCUGGGGAAACUGGUUUUGAAAGAAAUGAGAUGGGUUCAAGACCUUAAUGGCCCAUCAACUUGUUCUGCUGUUUUGGCAGCUCUGUUAAUCUCUGCUUCUUCUGGGUGGCCUCUUGCAGAAGGGGGCCCAAGGAAAAUGUGUCGUGACCUGUGUUUGAAGGAGCUUGCAUCAAAGCAGGGCGAAGCUGGAGCCGCUUUCCUCUYUCAGUCCUGCUGACGAUAGAUGGAGUUGAGCCAGUAGUGCCUGCCUGAAGCCACAGCACCCCAAAUAUCAUGGUUUCCUACGCCAAAUAGACGUCUCUGAAAUAGAAGGUGUGAUACCGUCAUGGUUUGAUUUUCAUCUGCUUGGAGAACUUUAUCUCUUCAAAUGAAUCAGSAAGAUUUCAGUUGCUUAUUUUUCCAACAGCUUAAAAUUUUCAAACUUUCUGAUUUUUUUUCACAGAAAACCUCUAUAAAUAUUCUAUUUAUAAAAAGGACUUUUCUCUGUUUUUAUGCAGUGACCACUGUUACAUCCCUAUAAGAAUGCAAGUUCUGUUAACCUUUUUAAAGUGAACUUUCAUAUAGAACUUGUAUAUAUUUCCAUGUGGGUAARAAACUUUUUUAUACAACCUACCUUCAACUUCAGUCCUCCAAAGUUUCUGCAGUCCAAAUCAGAUGAGAAAGCAACUUAUCCAAGUAAUACUGUUGUGAGCUGGAGAUGAAAUAUUGUAUUUUCCUGUGCAUAUAGUAUCCCRUGUGCCAGUAAAUUCGUGUCAAUUGAGCCUAGCCUUAGGGAGAUUACUUACAAUUUUGUCCUGYCAGAGUGACAAAAGGCAGCCUGGAGCUGGUGUUCACUUUAUUCACUUCCACAUAUUCUUCAUAUCCUCAGGGCUAUUGCUUUUGUUUACUGUCACAGAUCUACAUGAGCGUUUUUAUAUUAYUAACUUAGGCUAGGAGCAUUCCCUUAAUUUUUGCCUUGUUUAGUUCCAGACUGUAAAUAACACUAACUGCUCAUGAAACUGCAUCUUGCAGAACUCUACCCUGGGGACUACUCAGAACUGGAAAAUUUCAUUGCUUUGACAGUCUGUACAGACUAGCAGUCUGGUUGGAAAUGGGUAAUCAUGACCCACUCCAAACUGCAGCCUCGCAGAGGAGAAAUACCGUAGAGUACUCUGCAGAAGAAAGUAUAYGGAAAGUACUUGUCAAGCCAUUUUCUCUAUAUAGUUCUUAUUUUGGCUCCCUCUCCCCUUACUCCCCAGGCAGUAUGAUGGGAAAAUAAACACAGAUACUUAUGUACGUUUCA
rnacentral:lncRNA from 1 species